GGAGAUAUAGCUCAGUUGGUAGAGUGCUUGGCUCACAUGAGGCCCUGGGUUUAAUCCCCAGCACCACCA
rnacentral:tRNA from 1 species